AGGCUGUGUGGGGCUGGAGGGUAGAGGAUGUUGGGUGGGUUUUCCCCAGCACAGGGUCAGGCUGCUGAGCUUUGAGCUCUGUUUGGUUGGGUUGUUUUCCUUUAUGUUGUGUGUGAGGAUGGAGCACGUGUUUGCCUGAUGCUUCCUUCUCUCGGGCUCGCUAAUCAAGGUAAUACAUUGAAAUCAGGUGUAUUUAAAUAGCAUUGUCUCUCAUUUAGAUGCUUUCACACAAGUGGUCAGAGCACUUGGUUACAAGAAGCUUGGGCUUUUGCUGUGCUGAGCUGUAUGAUUUCUGUUUCCCUUCUACUGAAGCUGUGCCUCCAUUUUAAAGAAGUUUUUUGCAUCCAGGCUUCUGUUCCCUGAAAUACUCAGUUAGCUGUGAGCAGGGCAUGGACGCGUGCACUGCUGUGUUUGCUGCUGUUACAUGAGGGUUGUCAGCACUGUGAUGGGAAUGCUGGGAAGGCAGUAGAGAAGCUGAAGAGGUGAAGCAAUUUAAGACACAACCUAAAGGUUAUCCAAGCCAUCAGGAAGCUUCGCGUUGGUUCCUGCAGCCUUCGGCAAAGGCUUCCCCUCACUGCAACCACAUCUGAGCCACUGCAACAGGCAUUUCUUAAUAGCACUGGGAAGAGAAACAGAAGAAAAUUUCUUUGAAGUUUUACCUGGGCCUGAAGAGGCAGGAGGAGAGGAAAUAAAGGCAAAUGGAGGAGAUCCAUUUGCCACCAUCCAAACAGGUUACCAGGUGAGUCUUUCCUGUGGAUAACUUGCCACGUUCUGAUCGUGGAUGUAAAACCUAAGCUUAUACUGCAUCUAAAAAAGCAUCUUUAUCAGUUCAAAGCUAAGACUAAAGUUUCAGCCUUUCUUCUGUUUCUUCUUAAUGUGAUGAAACCUGAGUCUGAAUGGAGAAAGUUCAUUCGUAAUGUGGCCAGCCCUGCGGUGUUGAGCUGAGAAAGUCUGCGGUUAUCAUUUCCUCCUCUGGGGCAUUUGUGGAUGACCAUUGCUGCCCUGGGAGCACCCGCCUGCAUGGCAGCCCUGGCCCAGUCUGCAGCCAUGCAGCAUGGCGUAUCCCACCCACAGUGAGGCUUUGUACCAGCACCAGCUGGCUGGGGGUUACAGCCCAGGGCUCAGCACUGGUACCUUUUGCCUCCCCGUGCACACAAGGCCAAUGUGGGUCUCCCUGACCUCGUGUGUCACCAAGGGAGCUUGCUUGUAACUUUGUACAGUGCAUGGCUAGGAAUCAGCUGUAGCAAUCUGCCCACAGAACUCAAGCAACACCAGAAAAACUCAUUAUUCAAUACCUUAUUUCAUACUCUGGAAACAAGAGCAACAACCCCAGCCCUUCCUCCCCUUACAGUGGUGCGGUUUCCAUCAGUCUUUUCAACUCCUAAUGAGAUUUAGCGCUGGGGAGGGAUAUUUGUGCCAGAAGGACCGAGGCUUCUGAUCAAAAAGGCAUUGAAGUGUGCAGAAAAGUUCCUACAACAUUUGGAUCAAACCCCAUUUCUGUAUGGAAGAACAGAGCUAAUGCCACCUUAGUGAAGGUUUUAGGAGCUGUCUCUCAGCUCCUAUGUCAGGAAUGUGUUUGUGGAAAGUCUGUGAGAUCUCACCAAAUGAAUUCGUCAGAGAUUCACCCUGUGCCAAAAGACACGUCGCCCUGGGGAUGCUUGCACCAGUUCGUGGCCUCCUCUCCUGCCCCAGUGCAAAGAACAGCUCCUGCUCAUGGAGCACAGGCUGCUGUCAGAGAGCUCAGCAGCAACUCGAAAAGCAAAACCCUCUGCUCCUCCUGCAGGAGAUUAGAGCUGAAGGAGGGAGUGCAGAAAAAGUACAUUUUCUGCUAACAAACAGAGCUGAAAUGACAGGGAAGUGGCACUGUGACACACACACACACAGUGUGCACCUUACUCUGCCAUUCCCCUGAUGAUCAAUGUUACCCGAGGCAUUUUGCAGAUGAGUGCAGUUACCUCUUAUUCCCAGUAAGGAUGCAAUGUGAAAUGCAAAUACUCGAAAGGUUGGGCUGCUGUACAGCGGUAAUUAAUUACUCAUGCAGUUAUGCAGGAAUAGAACAGCAGUAGAUCUUUGAGUUUAUGAUAAAACAAUCUCAAAAAUACCCUGGGCUGAAAUCGACUGUUGUAUACAUGCAUCGUUUUCCCCUUACUGUGACCCACCUGGAUGCAGCCUGAGGCUUUGCAGAACGGCCGGCAGCCCCCAGCCCUGGCCUUGGGAGCAGCCCAGCACAUCCUAUCAUUGACCUGAUGGUCCCAUCCUGGCUGCUACAGAGAAACACCAACUGUGGGGACUGGGACCAAAAAUACCCACAAGCCACAUUACAGCAGAGCUUCUCUGGUUCAGCUCUUUCCUUCUAAUUAAACCACUUUGAUUGUUAUCACAACAGCACAAGGGCCAUGGAGGGGAGAACAUGAGCACCUCAGGGCUGGCUGCAGGCUGCAGUGCCUGGAGCUGAGUGCUGGCACAGUGUCCCAAAGGGUCGGGUGGCACGGGAGCCAUCAUCAAACCCAGCCCCAUACAUUCAGAUGAUUAAUUUCUGUGCCAGCACAGCCUUCACAGAUACACCCAAGGCCCUGAUCUUAAUGAAUCACGUAAAAUGUUAUGCCCUUUGGAAAGGCAAAUAUAACCCAAGUAAUUAUGAGCUGCUUUUUUUUGCUUUUUUUUCCCUGUCUCUCAAGGUCCAACUUUGACUAUGCAAUAUGCUGCUGCUACAUUUUGUGCAUGAAUGCACGUUUUGUGAAUGAAUCUUCACUGUUGGAGCUGUUGUGGGACAUGGAGGGAGCUGAGAUGCUGAGGGCACCCUCUGCACUGACCUGCCCAUGAGUCUGGAGGAGUAGAAGUGCAUGGGAGGACGUUGGGUGCUUGCCUUGAUGGCACAGCCCGGCCUUUGGAGCUGCUGAAACUGCUGCCACCCGUGGGAAUAGCUGAGGAUGGGAUUUUCUUUAUCAAAGACUUUAUUCCCCUGACAGCUGAGUCUGAGCUGUGUGUCCACUGAAUCCAGCCCUUUCAUUUUCCCCCUUUAAGUUUUGAGCUCGCAAUUCUCAUGCAGCGAGGGCAGGCUUAAGCUUGACUGUCAGUAUAAAAGCCUUUUCUUUUCGUAUCACUUCUCCUCUGCAGUUCAAACCAUCUCCAACCUCACUAACGUCAACUUCAAAGGCUUCCCCGUGCUGCAGCCACAGCUUUUCCUGCAGAGCCCAUCCUAGUGUCACCAUUAGGUGCGUGGAUGCCAGGCAUCAGCCAUCAUUUCUUCUGCAGGCAUUGCUGUCCUGGCAGCAGCAGGCUGAGAGCUUGUCCUUGUGCACAGAAAGCCCCCAGAGCCUUUUUUUUUCCAGCUGACGUUGGAUCAGGGAUGGAAACAUAAACAUGCGCAGCCAAAGUCCUAAGUUCCUUGGUUCCAAGGCCAAAGGAAAGCCCCAGCUCCAGCGGGAGGCAGUUCGUUCCUGGAUGCUGCAGGAUGAACUUGCUCUUGCUGCCCUCAUUCUGGGCAGCUUUCUGCUGGGGGAAGUUUAAGAUGUCGAUAAAGAUGAUAGCGCAUGGAGCGAUUUCUUUAAAUUCCUGAUCUAUUGAAACAAGCUGUAUUUCCCUGGGUUUGUGUUUAACAUCAUGCAAAUAGGAGCAUUCAGUUGGAGAAUAAUAUGUGCAUGAUAGAUAAUGUUGAGGCGUUUAGUUUUAUUUUGAGCAGAGUAUCCUGUUUAUGCUGCUAGGAAAAGUAAA